AUUGAACGCUGGCGGCAUGCUUUACACAUGCAAGUCGAACGGCAGCACGAGUGCUUGCACUUGGUGGCGAGUGGCGAACGGGUGAGUAAUACAUCGGAACGUGUCCUAAAGUGGGGGAUAACGCAUCGAAAGAUGUGCUAAUACCGCAUAAUCUCUAAGGAGAAAAGUAGGGGAUCGAAAGACCUUAUGCUUUUGGAGCGGCCGAUGUCUGAUUAGCUAGUUGGUGGGGUAAUGGCCUACCAAGGCGACGAUCAGUAGCUGGUCUGAGAGGAUGGCCAGCCACACUGGGACUGAGACACGGCCCAGACUCCUACGGGAGGCAGCAGUGGGGAAUUUUGGACAAUGGGCGCAAGCCUGAUCCAGCAAUGCCGCGUGAGUGAAGAAGG
rnacentral:rRNA from 1 species